rnacentral:rRNA from 1 species
AUUGAACGCUGGCGGCAGGCUUAACACAUGCAAGUCGAGCGGGGUGAUGGUGCUUGCACUAUCACUUAGCGGCGGACGGGUGAGUAAUGCUUAGGAAUCUGCCUAUUAGUGGGGGACAACAUCUCGAAAGGGAUGCUAAUACCGCAUACGUCCUACGGGAGAAAGCAGGGGAUCACUUGUGACCUUGCGCUAAUAGAUGAGCCUAAGUCGGAUUAGCUAGUUGGUGGGGUAAAGGCCUACCAAGGCGACGAUCUGUAGCGGGUCUGAGAGGAUGAUCCGCCACACUGGGACUGAGACACGGCCCAGACACCUACGGGAGGCAGCAGUGCGGAAUAUUGGACAAUGGGGGGAACCCUGAUCCAGCCAUGCCGCGUGUGUGAAGAAGGCCUUAUGGUUGUAAAGCACUUUAAGCGAGGAGGAGGCUCUUUUGGUUAAUACCCAAGAUGAGUGGACGUUACUCGCAGAAUAAGCACCGGCUAACUCUGUGCCAGCCGCCGCGGUAA